AAUAACCUCAUUUUUCGUUUUUCCAUGAUCAACGUUUGACUAUUCGUCUUAUUUGAAAUUUUUUACGAUUAAUAUUUUUAUUAUUAAUAGAUGAUAAAAUAUAAAUAGUACUUUAUAUGUGACUAUUUUUUAAAGUUUUUUUAUAAUUUUUUUAAAUAAGACGAAUGGUCAAACGUUGGACACGGAAAAAGAAAAAUAAGGUUAUU
rfam:Oryza brachyantha chromosome 12, whole genome shotgun sequence.